GUUGUCGUUAGAGAGAGAGGGGUGCCUUCGGGAACGGGGACACAGGUGGUGCAUGGUUGUCGUCAGCUCGUGCCGUAAGGUGUUGGGUUAAGUCCCGCAACGAGCGCAACCCUCGUGUUUAGUUGCCAACCGUUGAGGUUGGAACCCUG